rnacentral:rRNA from 1 species
UACAUAGGGUGCAAGCGUUGUCCGGAAUUAUUGGGCGUAAAGGGCUCGUAGGCGGUUUGUCGCGUCGGGAGUGAAAACCUUGGGCUUAACUCAGGGCUUGCUUUCGAUACGGGCAGACUAGAGGUAUGCAGGGGAGAACGGAAUUCCUGGUGUAGCGGUGAAAUGCGCAGAUAUCAGGAGGAACACCGGUGGCGAAGGCGGUUCUCUGGGCAUGAUCUGACGCUGAGGAGCGAAAGUGUGGGGAGCGAACAGG